UACGUAGGGAGCAAGCGUUGUCCGGAAUCAUUGGGCGUAAAGCGCGCGUAGGUGGCCUCAUAAGUCCGUUGUGAAAGUCAAAGGCUCAACCUUUGAAAGCCGAUGGAUACUGUGAGACUAGAGUACGGAAGAGGCGAGUGGAAUUCCUGGUGUAGCGGUGGAAUGCGCAGAUAUCAGGAGGAACACCAAUAGCGAAGGCAGCUCGCUGGGACGUUACUGACACUGAGGCGCGAAAGCGUGGGGAGCGAACAGG
rnacentral:rRNA from 1 species